UUUGAGUAAAGCAGAUUACUCUCCAUAAUGUGAGUGGGCCUCAUCCAAUCAGUUGAAGGCCUUAAGAGAAAAAGAUGAACUUGUGGAAGAAGGAUUUCUGCCAGCAGACUGUCUUCAGACUCGAACUGCAAUACCAGCUCUUCAUUGGCUCUUCAGCCCACCAACCCAUCCUGCAGAUUUUGAACUUGUCAAGACUCCACAAUCAUAUGACAUCUGCAAGAUAUUUUGGCUACCAAAAGAGAAAUGUUUUCUGUAUUUGAUUUGCCUGUGGAGAAGACAUCUGCAAGAUAUUUAUUUAUUUAUUUUUACUUGCUCUGCACCUUUUUCUUCUGGAGAAGCAACCCAUUUCCUACUUCAAGGUCAACUAAAUUCAGGGUCAAUCAACCAGGCUCUUCAUUCAAUGGACAAAAACUACAGAUUAUCUAAAUAGAUGCAGAAAAGGCCUUCGAUAAAAAUCCUCAUUCCUUCACUUUAAAAACUCUCAAUAAACUAGGUAUUGAAGGAACAUACCUCAAAAUAAUAAGAGCCACUUAUGACAAACUCACAGCCAGUGUCCUUACUGAAUGGGCAAAGGCUGAAAGUAUUCCCUUUGAAAACCAGCACAAGACAAGUUUGCCCUCUCUCCCAGCCCCCAUUCAAUAUAGUAUUGGAAGUUAUGGCCACGGCAAUCGGACAAGAGAAAAAAAUGAAGAAUAUUUAAAUGGGAAAAGAGGAAGCCAAACUAUCUUUUUUUGCAGAUGACAAAAUCCUAUAUCUAGAAAACCCAUAGUCUCAACCCAAAAGCUUCUUAAGCUGAUAAGCAACUUCAGCAAAGUCUCAGGAUAAAAAAUCAAAGUGCAAAAAUUGCUAUACACCAACAACAGGCAAGCCAAGAGCCAAAUCAUGAAUGAGCUUUGAUUCACAUUUGCCACAAAAAGAAUAAAAUACCUAGGAAUACAGCUAACAAGGGAAGUGAAGGACCUCUUCAAGGAGAACUACAAAGCACUUCUCAAAGAAAUCAGAGAUGACGCAAACAAAUGGAAAAACAUUCCAUGCUCAUGGAUAGGAAAAAUCAAUAUUAUGUAAAUGGUCAUACUGCCCAAAGCAACUUAUAAAUUCAGUGUUAUUCCCAUUAAAUUACCAUUGACAUUCUUCACAGAAUUAGAAAAAACUAUUUUGAAAUUUAUAUGGAACCAAAAAGAGCCUGAAUACUGAAAGCAAUCCUUAGCAAAAAGAACAAAGGUGGAGACAUCAGGCUAGCUGACUUCAAACUAUACUACAGGGCUACAGUAACCAAAAUAGCAUGGUACUGGUACAAAAACAGACACACAGACCAAUGGAAAAGAAUAGAGAAUCCAGAACACCUACAGCCAUCUAAUCUUUAACAAACCUGAAAAAGACAAGCAAUGGAGAAAGGAUUCCCUAUUUAAUAAAUGGUGCUGGGAGAACUAGCUAGUCAUAUGCAGGACAUUGAAACUGGAACCUUCCUUACGCCUUGUACAAAAAUCAACUCAAGGUGGAUUAAAGACUUAAAUGUAAAACCCCAAACUAUAAAUACACUAGAAGAAAACCUGGGCAAUACCAUUUAGGAUAGAGGCAUUGGCAAAGAUUUCAUGAUGAAAUCACCAAAAGCAAUUGCAACAAAAGCAAAAAUUAGGAAAUGGGUCUAAUUAAACUAAAGAGCUUCUGCACAGCAAAAGAAACUAUCAACAGAGUAAAUAGACAACCUACAGAAUGGGCAAAAAUUGUUGCAAUCUAUGUAUCUGACAAAGGCCUAAUAUCCAGAAUCUAUAAGGAACUUAAACAAAUUUACUAAAAAAAGCAACCCCAUUAAAAAGUGGGCAAAGGACAUGAACAGACACUUCUCAAAAGAAGACAUACAUAGGUAAAUGUGGCUAACAAACAUGAAAAAAAGGCUUCAUAUCACUAAUUAUUAGAUAAAUGCAAAUCAAAACCACAAUGGGAUACCAUCUCAUAUCAUUCAGGAUGGUGAUUAUUAAGUCAAAAAAUGACAGAUGCUGGUGGAGAUGUGAAGAAAAAGGAACACUUUAAUACCGUUGGUGGGAGUGUAAAUCAGUUCAACCAUUGUGGAAAACAGUCUGGUGAUUCCUCAGAGACAAAGAGGAAGAAAUACCAUUCCACCCAGCAAUCUCAUUACUGGUUAUAUACUUAAAGGAAUAUAAAUAAUUUUCUUAUAAAGACACAUGCACACAUAUGUUUAUUGCUGCACUAUUCACAAUAGCAGACAUAGAAUCAACCUAAAUGCCCAUCGGUGAUAGACUGAAUAAAGAAAAUGUACAUAUACAACAUAGAAUACUACGCAGCCAUAAAAAGGAAUCAGAUCAUGUCCUUUGCAGGGACAUGGAUGGAGCUGGAGGCCAUCAUCCUUAGCAAACUUACACAGGAACAGAAAACCAAAUAAUGCAUGUUCUCACUUACAAGUGGGAGCUAAAUGAUGAGAAUACAUGGACAUAUGGCAGGGAACAACACACACUGGGGCCUGUUGGAGAGUAGGGAACGGGAGGAGUGAGAGGAUCAGGAAGAAUAACUAUUGGAUAAUGGGCUUAACCUGGGUGAUAGGAUGAUCUGUGUAGCAAACCAGCAUGGCACACAUUUACCUAUGUAACAAACAUGCAUAUUCUGCACAUGUAUCCCUGAACUUAAAAUAAAAGUUGGGAAUGAAAAAAAAA